rnacentral:rRNA from 1 species
UACAGAGGGUGCGAGCGUUAAUCGGAGUUACUGGGCGGAAAGGGCGCGUAGGCGGUUAUUUAAGUGAGAUGUGAAAUCCCUGGGCUUAACCUAGGAACUGCAUCUCAUACUGGAUAGCUAGAGUAUUGUAGAGGGUAGUGGAAUUUCCGGUGUAGCGGUGAAAUGCGUAGAGAUCGGAAGGAACACCAGUGGCGAAGGCGGCUACCUGGACAAAUACUGACGCUGAGGCGCGAAAGCGUGGGGAGCAAACAGG